rnacentral:rRNA from 1 species
UACGGGGGGUGCGAGCGUUGUCCGGAAUCACUGGGCGUAAAGGGCGCGUAGGUGGUUUGAUAAGGGUGUGGUGAAAGUCCGGGGCUCAACCCCGGAUCUGCCGUGCCGACUGUCAAACUCGAGGACUGUAGAGGCAGACGGAAUUCCGGGUGUAGCGGUGGAAUGCGUAGAGAUCCGGAGGAAGACCGGUGGCGAAGGCGGUCUGCUGGGCAGUUUCUGACACUGAGGCGCGACAGCGUGGGGGGCAAACAGG